rnacentral:rRNA from 1 species
AGAACGAACGCUGGCGGCAGGCUUAACACAUGCAAGUCGAACGCUCGUAGCAAUACGGGAGUGGCAGACGGGUGAGUAACGCGUGGGAACAUACCCUCCGGUUCGGAAUAGCUCAGGGAAACUUGGAUUAAUACCGGAUACGGCCGAGAGGCGAAAGAUUUAUCGCCGGAGGAUUGGCCCGCGUUCGAUUAGCUAGUUGGUGAGGUAACGGCUCACCAAGGCGACGAUCGAUAGCUGGUCUGAGAGGAUGAUCAGCCACAUUGGGACUGAGACACGGCCCAAACUCCUACGGGAGGCAGCAGUGGGGAAUAUUGGACAAUGGGCGCAAGCCUGAUCCAGCCAUGCCGCGUGAGUGAUGACGGCCUUAGGGUUGUAAAGCUCUUUCGCUCGGGACGAUAAUGACGGUACCGAGAUAAGAAGCCCGGCUAACUUCGUGCCAGCAGCCGC